rnacentral:piRNA from 1 species
UGACAAGACGAAUUGUCGUAGCCACUGAGC